AGUUAUUAAUAAUAAAAGGUAAAAUUAGGUUGUUAUUAUAUAAUUUAAAUAAAUUUAAAUUGAAGCUAAAAAAAUUUAGUUAAAAACUAGGAUUAGAUACCCUAUUAUUCUAAACUGAAAAAAAAAUAUGCUAGAUUAGUAGUAGUUAUUUACUUAAAAAUUAAAAAAUUUGGCGGUAAUUUAAUCUGACCAGAGGAACUUGCUUUUUAAUCGAUAUACCACGCAGAAUCUUACUUGCUUUUGUUAUAUUAUAAAUCAGUUUGUAUACCAUCAUUAUCAGAUAAUUUUAAAAGAAAAAAUUAUUAAUCAGUAAAUGUUUAUAAAAAUUAGAUCAUGGUGCAGCAUAUAGGCAAGUUUAAGUGAGUUACAAUAAAUUAUUUUAUACGGAUUUUCAAAAUUAUAUUUGUUAUAAAGGUGGAUUUGGUUGUAUUAUAAUUUUAAUAAGUUUAUAAGAAAUAUGCCCUAAAUUAUGCACAUAUCGCCCGUCGCUUUCAU
rnacentral:rRNA from 1 species